rnacentral:rRNA from 1 species
GCCUUAGUUAACGGCGAGUGAAGCGGCAAAAGCUCAAAUUUGAAAUCUGGUACCUUCGGUGCCCGAGUUGUAAUUUGGAGAGGGCAACUUUGGGGCCGUUCCUUGUCUAUGUUCCUUGGAACAGGACGUCAUAGAGGGUGAGAAUCCCGUGUGGCGAGGAGUGCGGUUCUUUGUAAAGUGCCUUCGAAGAGUCGAGUUGUUUGGGAAUGCAGCUCUAAGUGGGUGGUAAAUUCCAUCUAAAGCUAAAUAUUGGCGAGAGACCGAUAGCGAACAAGUACAGUGAUGGAAAGAUGAAAAGAACUUUGAAAAGAGAGUGAAAAAGUACGUGAAAUUGUUGAAAGGGAAGGGCAUUUGAUCAGACAUGGUGUUUUGUGCCCUCUGCUCCUUGUGGGUAGGGGAAUCUCGCAUUUCACUGGGCCAGCAUCAGUUUUGGUGGCAGGAUAAAUCCAUAGGAAUGUAGCUUGCCUCGGUAAGUAUUAUAGCCUGUGGGAAUACUGCCAGCUGGGACUGAGGACUGCGACGUAAGUCAAGGAUGCUGGCAUAAUGGUUAUAUGCCGCCCGUCUUGAA